rnacentral:rRNA from 1 species
UACGAGUGCCCCGAGCGUUAUCCGGAAUCAUUGGGCGUAAAGGGUGCGUAGGCGGCGCGGUAAGUCGGGUGUGAAAUCUCGGGGCUUAACUCCGAAACUGCAUUCGAUACUGCCGUGCUUGAGGACUGGAGAGGAGACUGGAAUUUACGGUGUAGCGGUGAAAUGCGUAGAUAUCGUAAGGAAGACCAGUGGCGAAGGCGGGUCUCUGGACAGUUCCUGACGCUGAGGCACGAAGGCCAGGGGGAGCAAACGGG